UACAGAGGUCUCAAGCGUUGUUCGGAUUCAUUGGGCGUAAAGGGUGCGUAGGCGGCGCGGUAAGUCGGGUGUGAAAUCUUGGAGCUUAACUCCGAAACUGCAUUCGAUACUGCCGUGCUUGAGGACUGGAGAGGAGACUGGAAUUUACGGUGUAGCGGUGAAAUGCGUAGAUAUCGAGAGGAACACCGGUGGCGAAGGCGAGGCCCUGGACAACACCUGACACUGAGGCACGAAAGCUAGGGGAGCAAACAGG
rnacentral:rRNA from 1 species